rnacentral:rRNA from 1 species
CGCAAGAAUGAAACUCAAAGGAAUUGACGGGGACCCGAAAGUCGUCUCAGUUCGGAUUGCAGGCUGCAACUCGCCUGCAUGAAGUCGGAAUUGCUAGUAAUCGCAGAUCAGCAUGCUGCGGUGAAUACGUUCCCGGGCCUUGUACACACCGCCCGUCACACCAUGGGAGUCGGUAACACCCGAAGUCGGUAGUCUAACCGAAAGGAGGACGCCGCCGAAGGUGGGAUUGAUGACUGGGGUGAAGUCGUAACAAGGUACC